rnacentral:tRNA from 1 species
GCGGAAGUGGCGGAACUGGCAGACGCACCAGCUUGAGGGGCUGGCGGUCGCAAGACCGUGGGGGUUCAAAUCCCCCCUUCCGCACCA